GACGAACGCUGGCGGCGUGCUUAACACAUGCAAGUCGAACGAUGAACCAUUUCGGUGGGGAUUAGUGGCGAACGGGUGAGUAACACGUGGGCAAUCUGCCCUGCACUCUGGGACAAGCCCUGGAAACGGGGUCUAAUACCGGAUGAUAUCCACUGGGGCAUCUCGGUGGGUUGAAAGCUCCGGCGGUGCAGGAUGAGCCCGCGGCCUAUCAGCUUGUUGGUGGGGUGAUGGCCUACCAAGGCGACGACGGGUAGCCGGCCUGAGAGGGCGACCGGCCACACUGGGACUGAGACACGGCCCAGACUCCUACGGGAGGCAGCAGUGGGGAAUAUUGCACAAUGGGCGAAGCCUGAUGCAGCGACGCCGCGUGAGGGAUGACGGCCUGGUGUAAC
rnacentral:rRNA from 1 species